AAAUUAAAAAAAAAAAAAUUCAUAUCACAAUGAUGCUCUUUUCUUUUAAUCUUUUUCAAACACCAAUUAAUAAUGAUCCACAUCCUAUUAUUAGCACCCUUCGCGGAUUUACAUGGGGGGCAGUUGGGGCAAUUGCCCCCACUGUCCAUAUAAAAAUUUUGAUGUACAAUCUAUAUUUCUAUGAAAUUGUCUCCACUAAAUUUUAAGCAUGUCUCAUUUAAAUUAAAUCAUUAUAAUUUUUUAGUACAUAAAUAUAUAUGCAUGUGUAUUGCCCCCCUUAAUUUUAAAUAUGCCUCCAUGUAAAUCAAAUAAUUACAAUUACUGCAAAUUAGAAAGGACAUAAAUAAAGGAAGGCUCGUAUCCAUAAAAGAAAGGGAUAUUCAUCACCCAUGACCUUGAGUCCACAGCAUAUCACUCACAUAUAUAUAAAAGAAAAGACGCUGACACAUAUUGCAUAUAUAACCUAUGCCAAGUCAUACGGUAACCAUAACGAGAUAAAAAGUAAAUAAAUCUUCUUGCUCCAGUAAUAAGCUGCCAUCAGAUUCAAUGAUGAGCUGAAUUGAUUUUGAAACCAGAAAAGGUCUUCCAGGCAGAUUCAAAAAUAGGUCUUCGUCAGCACAAAAGGCAAGAUUCUUAGUACUUUAGUAAUUGAAAAUAAUGUAACCAAUCAAGCAUAUUUGUAGAACAGAAUACCAUAAAACAAAAUGUCACCUUAUGUUCACUACUUUUCACA
rnacentral:misc_RNA from 1 species